CAGGGAUAACUGGCUUGU
rnacentral:ncRNA from 2 species